rnacentral:rRNA from 1 species
UACGGAGGGAGCUAGCGUUGUUCGGAAUUACUGGGCGUAAAGCGCACGUAGGCGGCUUUGUAAGUUAGAGGUGAAAGCCCGGAGCUCAACUUCGGAAUUGCCUUUAAGACUGCAUCGCUUGAAUCAUGGAGAGGUCAGUGGAAUUCCGAGUGUAGAGGUGAAAUUCGUAGAUAUUCGGAAGAACACCAGUGGCGAAGGCGACUGACUGGACAUGUAUUGACGCUGAGGUGCGAAAGCGUGGGGAGCAAACAGG